GAUGAAGAACGUAGCAAAAUGCGAUACUUGGUGUGAAUUGCAGAAUCCCGUGAACCAUCGAGUUUUUGAACGCAAGUUGCGCCCGAAGCCUUUUGGCCGAGGGCACGUCUGCCUGGGCGUCACGCAUCGCGUCGCCCCCCCACAAUUCUCCGUAAAGGGAACAUGUGUUUUGGGGGCGGAUAUUGGUCUCCCGUGCUCAUGGCGUGGUUGGCCGAAAUAGGAGUCCUUUCGAUGGACGCAUGAACUAGUGGUGGUCGUAAAAUCCCUCGUCUUUUGUUUCGUGCUGUUGCUCGCAAGGUAAACUCUUUAAAAACCCCAAUGCGUCGUCUCUUGACGACGCUUCGACCGCGACCCCAGGUCAGGCGGGACUACCCGCUGAGUUUAAGCAUAUCAAUAAGCGGAGGA
rnacentral:misc_RNA from 1 species